rnacentral:rRNA from 1 species
UAACACGUAGGGUCCGAGCGUUGUCCGGAAUUACUGGGCGUAAAGCGCGCGCAGGCGGUUGGUCGCAUCGGCGGUGAAAGCCCCCCGCUUAACGGGGGAGGGUCCGUCGAGAUGGACUGACUGGAGGCAGGGAGAGGGCGGUGGAAUUCCGGGUGUAGUGGUGAAAUGCGUAGAGAUCCGGAGGAACACCAGUGGCGAAGGCGGCCGCCUGGACCUGACCUGACGCUGAGGCGCGAAGGCGCGGGGAGCGAACGGGAUUAGAUACCCCGGUAGUCCGCGCAGUAAACGAUGCGUGCUGGGUGUGGCGGGAGUUGACCCCCGCCGUGCCGGAGUUAACACGGUAAGCACGCCGCCUGGGGAGUACGGCCGCAAGGCUA